UACAGAGGUCCCAAGCGUUGUUCGGAUUCACUGGGCGUAAAGGGUGCGUAGGCGGUUGGGUAAGUCUGAUGUGAAAUCUCACAGCUUAACUGUGAAACUGCAUUGGAUACUAUCCGGCUAGAGGAAUGGAGGGGAGACUGGAAUACUUGGUGUAGCAGUGAAAUGCGUAGAUAUCAGGAAGAACACCCGUGGCUAAGGCGGCUCUCUAGUACGGUACUGACGCUGAGACGCGAAAGCGUGGGGAGCGAACAGG
rnacentral:rRNA from 1 species